rnacentral:tRNA from 1 species
AUUUUUAUAGCUUAGUGGCACAGCAUCUGCCUGGCAAGUACAAGGUCCUGAGUUUGAUUCCCAGUGCAAAAA